rnacentral:snRNA from 1 species
AAAUUGAAUUGGACAGGGUCCAUGGGUGAUAAAAAAUGUCCAUGACCUAGGUUGGUAACCUGCAUUGCAGUCGGUGUGCCUACCUGUGAUCAAAAGUGCUUCAGCUUAUGUCAUAAUUUAUGGCAGUGGCGCAUAGAAUGACUGAAUGAGAAAUGAAAUUCUACUAAGCCCUG